AUCAGAAAAGAUCCAAAAAAUUCCAUUAGAGAGAGAGAGAGAAAACUUCAAGGCUAAGAAGAUCAUUUUGAUCAAAAUCCGAGCUCCGAAUCCCGAAGCUCAUGAAGAGAAAAACGUUGUACGUUGCGUUGCCUUCAAUUUGAGAUAAAUAUUAGUCUUGGGGGAUGAAAUUUUCGUGGUGGAUCUUCUGAUAAGAUUUUGGACGAGAUUGGGAUCGACGCCAAGCGAGCGUAAGGCGCUAUCGAGGUACAGGCGCACUCGGUGACACGCCGCCAGUCUAGGGCACAGGUUCUGCUAUCUUGAAGAGCUCCUUUUGAUUCGGAGCAUGUACUUUGGUAUAUAUAUCUUUUGUUUUCCGUAUGUUCUGUAUGUAUGGAAGUUCU